AAAACACUGGUGUUUCUGUGGAGCGCCAGCCGCCUCUAAAAUCAGGAUGGGCCUAGGUAUCUAUUCUAGAGAAAUUCACGUGCACACCAGCCAAGGGACAUGUCCAGUAAAGCUGAGCUCCAGAGUUGCAAAAUCUGACCCUGCAGAAGAGACUUGAAAAUAACACUGACGAUCCGACACUGAGGGCGGGGCCCUGAUGGCUUGUCCUUCGUGAAGAGCUACGGCUUUCCUCUUCCUUCUGUUUGUCAUUUCUCCCAUCGCCAUUAGCCGACUUCUCUGGAACGUUUGCUCUUUGUAAAGUGGGCUCAUAACAAACCAAGUCCCAGUCCUAGUAAUGCUAAACACCACGAAGAGAUGAUUUCUUGUCUUUGCGUGGUAUGUUCCCUUUAACGUAUCCUUCAUCACAAUGAAGCGUUUUAAUUAGGAUACAGCAUUGCUGACUCACUUCGCUUAGGGCCUGACGUGGAAGCAUUUUCUCCUGUGUAAGACUCUUUGGUCUUACGCCCCCUUGAGCCCAUAGUCCCGACUCCUAAACAUUUUGACACGCAUUUGUCUCUGUUGAGACUAAGAGCAAAUUUUGGCUUUAAUAGACAAUGUUUCUGAACUUUCAAAGUCAGGUUGCAUUCUGUUCCUAAUAUUCAAGUUGAUAGCCUUCCCCUCCCCGCAGAUGGCGGCCCUCUCCAAAUGUGGUGGAUGCUUUCGAUAUCUUUGUCUGAAUUACUGAUAAAGAACUAACCCCUGAGGAUGUCCUCGAGUCGAUAAGGAGUCACUGAUAAUCAUUGUUUAGGAAUUUUCAAUUCGCUAAUAGUAGUGUUACCAGUGUCCCAGCGUCUGGCUUAGGGGUUCAUGUGACAUAGGAUCAACUGCCUUAUUCACAUCCACAGAAGCUACCUCCUUCCCCCACCCUCCACUCUCCGCCACCCACCACCAUAUACCCUGCCCCUUUAGCGUAAAAGGAAAUAACAUUGGUCUGGCAUAAUCCUCUUUUUACCAACCCCAGCCUUGGCACUGAAAAUGUGAGGAAAUAAGACCAUCUUGCCUGCGUCAUAGCAAGCCUCCCCGCAGCAAACCCAGGGCGGUUUCUUCUGAACGGCGUUCACGGAUGGCACAGAGAGCCAGCCCCAUCACCCAAUGCCCGGAAACACAUAGGGGGUGAGACAUUUACCAGUAAAAGUGGCAGGAAUGAUUCAAGAUCGGAGGUCGGCGGGGUCUGAGAAUGACCCAUCAGCCACCGUGGCGGCCCCCUGGCUCUGAACCGGCUACAGCGGAAGCCAAGCAAAGCUCCCAGUUUUUAUCUAAAACAGAAAUGCAGACAAUCAUCGGGCAAAGACAACGACCCACUCCGUAGUGAGAAGACACACGUUGGUCUGUGUUAAAUUAUACCUUGACCGUGCGCAGGCAGGCCCCGCGGAGGCCCGAUCAUUCUACUCUGCUGUAACUUGUCCUGAUGAUUUACUUUGUGGCUCAAAUCCCUGCCUUUUUCGUGGGACUCCCGUGGGAGUUAUUUUCACUCAUGGAACCACCUCCUUUUCAAGAAAUAAACCUCAUUCUUCCUUCUCCA